GGAAAUGUAGUUCAGUGGUGGAACACUUGUCUAGUAAGUAAGUGUGUGAUCUUGAGUUUGAUCCUCACUGUCUCAA
rnacentral:tRNA from 1 species